GGCGUGGUGCCAGAGUGGUUAAUGGGUGAGACUUGAAAUCUCAUGGCUUCGGCCGCGCAAGUUCGAACCUUGUCCACGUCG
rnacentral:tRNA from 1 species